UCACCAGACAGACGACCAUCCGAACUUGCCGCCCUCGCCGUUGGAACCUCUUUGAACACGGAUCCCGGACGCCUGAUGCGAACAAUGGGCUUCUGGUAUGGUCCAAGUUCCACCAAAGUUCAAGUGAAUUGUAACUGCUGCUGGACUCCUCAGACGACACGGAUUCGUUCUGACAACGUGGGACAACUCAACGCGGAUAAGUACCUCUUUUAACCCUUUUUCAUUACCUGAAUUGUUCACGUUAUUUUCAGGUUUGAGUUACCUCGGAGUAACCAACAAGUUGACGCAGUAUCAACCACUUUUCAAAAGUUAGUCCCCUAACCAGAUCUAAGUCAGUAAACCUAACUUUUGUCAAAUUUUGAAUUGUGGGCCAAACUUUACCCACGUGUUUUAAACACGUAAACAACUCAAUCCCAAGAGUUUCGCUGACAAUUGAAAUUGCAAGUUGUACAAGUUUUUUAGUCAAUAUCGUAAAUGUCAGUUUGGCGAGUAAUCCCUAAUCUAAUUUAUUUAUGGGAUUAUUCUAAGUAAAACGAAAAUGGAUAAAACAAAUUUUAUAAAUUUUUGAUUAAAUAAAAAGGGCGUUAUGCAUCCCGAGCGCUUAAAUUAAAUAUGAAUAUAAAAUGCGAAUACAUGGUUAUGUAUAUAUAAAGCUAGAGUACACAAACGUUUCGCGCUCUAAAAUAAAAUAAAAUAUUCUUGGCUGAUUACCCUUAAUAUCUUGCGUCCUCUAAUCCAUGCUUGACUCGGAUUCCGGCUCGGCGUCCUGUUGCCGUUCCCCUUGGCAGCGUGUCCGCAUGACCCCUGACGGUCCCGCGAUUGCCAGGUCAAACAACGCGUCUGCCUCCGGGUCCGACCGUGUCAGCAACGCGCUCACUGAGACCGCCUCCAUCCUUUCAACCGCGGGAAUGACCCUGGCUGCCGACGGU